GCAUAAUCAUUCGCCUUUUAAUUGAAGGCUAGUAUGAACGGACACACGAGGGAUCAACUGUCUCUCCCCUACUUCAUGAAAAUUGAACUCUUGGUGAAAAUGCCAAGAUUCAGGCGAAGGACAAAAAGACCCUAUUGAGUUUUAUCUUCUAAGUUAAUACUUUAAAUCUUUCACAGACCAUUCCUAAAUACAUAACUCUAAAGAUUUGAUUGGGGCAAUCAGAGAUCAAAAAUACCAUCUCUCACAAUCCAAUACUCACCCACUUAAAUAUCCAAGAACUUGAAUAAGAAAUCAACUACCAUAGGGAUAACAGGCUAAUCCUCCUAGAGAGAUCACAUUGACAGGAGGGG
rnacentral:rRNA from 1 species